ACGUGUAUAUAUAAAAGAUGAUAACAAUUUUGUUUUCACGAGGCCGGAAGGAAAGGAAGAAGAAGAGACACGGGACUCCUUUAAUUUCUUCUCUUUUGUCAAUGUUGUGCUAUAUCUAUUUAUUUAUGCAGGUAAGGUUUUCUAUAGUUUGUACAAGUGUGAAAAUACCAAUUGUUGCUAGCUUAUAUAAUCGUGUUAACAGGCUGUUUAUCAAUAAUUUGGACUGGAAGUCUGGAACUGCAGAGUUUUUUUUUUUCUUCGAGAAAUGACUUCGAUGUAUUUAUCAUCUCCGUCACCCGGAUCCUCAUCACCCGAAAAGUUACUACCAUCAGAAACAUGACCAGAUGAGAUGGAGUUUUUUGAGGAAUAAGGGGUUAAAUCAACGACAAGGCCACCUUCAACCAGAUCAUUAAUCUCGACAGCCAACGUCUGGGAAUGAAGAUUCACAUGCUGAGAGUGGUGGCUGAUAGGAGACACUGAUCUUUGCCUGUUCUCCAAGGACUUCG
rnacentral:lncRNA from 1 species